AAAUUGAAGAGUUUGAUCAUGGCUCAGAUUGAACGCUGGCGGCAGGCCUAACACAUGCAAGUCGAACGGUAACAGGAAGCAGCUUGCUGCUUCGCUGACGAGUGGCGGACGGGUGAGUAAUGUCUGGGAAACUGCCUGAUGGAGGGGGAUAACUACUGGAAACGGUAGCUAAUACCGCA
rnacentral:rRNA from 4 species